rnacentral:lncRNA from 1 species
UGGCUUCAAAAAUUGCUAUUCUCCUUUCCAUCAACAUCCUAUUUUUCACUAUGGUUACCUCAACUAAUGUUUGUCCUCCAUCACCCCCUAAAGUUCAAAAACCACCCCAACCACCUUCCACAAAACCCCCCCAACAACCUUCCCCAAAAUCCCCCCAACAACCUUCCCCAAAAUCCCCCCAACCACCUUCCCCAAAAUCCCCAACUUGUCCUAUAGACACACUUAAGUUUGGUGUGUGUGCUGAUUUAUUGGGUGUGGUUCAUAUUAUAAUUGGUAAGUCACAAUGUUGUUCACUCAUUAAUGGUCUUGCUAAUCUUGAAGCUGCUGUGUGCCUUUGCACUGCCCUUAAAGCUAAUGUGUUGGGAAUCAACCUUAAUAUUCCUAUUAACUUGAGCUUGAUACUUAACGAUUGUGGAAAGGGUGUUCCAAAGGGCUUCGUAUGCGCUUAAUUACUAAUUAGAGACACCACUUCAUUAUAUAGUGUGUGGAUUUUGUACUCUUUGCUACUUAAUUGUCAUUUUCUUAUGAAUAAUACUUUGUAAUGGUUUGAAAUUGCUAUGAAUAAUAUCAUUGUCGUGGUUUAUUAGUAUUGCUAUGAAUAAUAUUUUUGUGAUGGUUUAUUAUUAUUGCUAUGAAUAAUAUUGUUGUGAUAGUUUUAAAUUGAAGCAUUAAUUUGUCUUCCUUUUCAAUAUCAAUACAAAUGGUGGUUUGUAUAGUAUUUCGUCUACGUAAAAUUUCUAGUAUAAUUCGAAUGUUAAAUAAAAAUAGCAAAAUUCAAUUGAUUAUAAAUUGAAUAUUUUCCAUCCAUAUUUAAUGUUAAGAUUAAAUUUAAUGACCUAAAAAGAUAAAAAUAUAAUAACUAUACACAUAAAUAUUUUAAAAGCAGAUGAAUAGUAAUCAAAUUAAAACCUUAAUUUUAAUUAACAAAUUUAUUUAUUCUACCUAUAACCAAUUUUUAAAAAUAAUAUAAGAUUACAGUUAGGGAUGAGAAUAAGCUAGGCCGUCCGACAACGGCCUAUGACAUGGCCUACUUAUGACCUGGCCUAUUUAAUAAAAAGACUAGGCUCAAGCUAUUUUUAAAGCUUAUUUAUUUAAAUAGGUCAGACUCAGGCUUAUAAAGAAGCCUAUUAGGCCUGACAUGCCGACCUAUAUAGAUUUAAUUAUUUACUAAUGUUAUUUUUUAUUAUUAUAUUAUUAAUAUUAUUUCCUAUUUUAAAUUCUAUCAAUUAGACAAUCACUCGGUAGUCAUUCCAUAUUUGGUAGUCGUUCCAUAUUCGGUAGGCAUUCAAUUAGUCAAUAACUCAGUAGUCCUUUCAUAUUUGUUUGAGAGGUAAUAAUUGGUACAUUUGUUUCAAAAACAAAAAGUCUAUUCUUUGAAACUAAGAAUUAUGUUUUAGAGUUUAAAGGAUGUUUGUUUCAGAUUUUUUAAAAAUUAUUUUGUUAGAAAAAUUAUUUUUUGUUUAAUAUAUAUAGAUACGUACAUUGAUAUUGAUAUGUGGAGAACAUUUAAAUAUUUUAAUAUGAAUAAGACUUUUAAAUAGGCUUCCAGGUCAGGCCAGACCAGAUCGAAAAAAAAAGCCUAUGAUAAGCCGUGGGCCAGACUUGGGCCUAAAAAAUUAAUCGUAGGCCAGGCUCAGGCCUUGCAAAGCCUGGUCUGAUCUGACCUAUUCCCACCCCUAAUUACAGUAUGUAAUAUCAUGCAUAUUUGUCUGUACCGUAUAGAAUAAAAAAAAAUUGUGUAAAACUUUUUUUAUAUAUGUUACAAUUUUAAUUUUAUAAUUAGAAAUAUAUAAAAAAUUGCAAAAGAUAAAUAAGCCAUUUCAAUUUGAUUUUCUGUUUUGAAAAAUUUGAGGAUUUUUCUUUAAUAUCCCUUUGUUUCAAUUUUUUUUCUAAACAAUUAAUAAUAAUAAAAAUGAUUAAAAUUAGUAAAAAACAAUACAAAAAUUUAUAGAGGUUGAAUAGAGUUAUUUGUAAUAUAGAAUAAUAAUUUGAAUUUUGAUCGGAUAACCAAUCUAAUUUAAAUUGUGGAUCUUAUAUCACUUUUACAAAAAUGCAUAUAAGAAUCUUUCAUUUGGUUAUUUUUUGGUAUUCAUUUUAAAAUUUUGCAAUAAGAAUUAUUAAUUUAAUUGUAAUAAAAAUAUUUUUACUUUUUAAGGUAGAAAAUUAUUAUUGUUAUUAUUAUUAUUAUUCUUAAUAUAAAUAGGAUUAAAUAUAUUUUUAAUUCCUAAUUUUUUAUAUAUUUUAAUUUUAGUUGCUAUAAAAUAAAAAUGUAAUUUUAAUCCUUACAAAGUUGUCGAUCCGGUAAGUAGUUCUAAUCUCUGUUUAAACAAAAUAUACUUAAUUGUUUUUCAACUUUAAAAAUUUUAGAAUGACUUUUCACACGUAUGUUUAUAAUAUUAUAAAAAGCUAAGUUCAUCCGCAUAAAUUUUGAAUUUUUUUUAUCUUGGUAUAAUUAAAUAUAAAAUUUUUAAAUAUAAAAAAUCAAGAUAAAAUUAACAAAAAUAUAGAUUUAAAAACCUAAUUUUGAGCUCAUAUUUUGUGGUAUAAUAUAAACAAAUUAUACUUAAUUAUUUUUCAACUUUAAAAAUUUUAGAAUGACUUUUUACAGGUAUGAUUAGAAUAUUAUAAAAAGCUAAGUACAUUCACAUAAAUUUUGAAUUGUUUUUACCUUGGGUAUAAUUAAAUAUAAAAUUUUUAAAUAUAAAAAAUCAAGAUAAAAUUAACAAAAAUAUAGAUUUAAAAACCUAAUUUUGAGCUCAUAUUUUGUGGUAUAAUAUCUUUUAUAUUGUUGUAAAUAUAAUUGCAAAAAUUUAUUUAAAAAUAUAUGUUGACUUAACAACCUAAACUAAAACUACGUGCACGAUAAUUUUGUGUGAACUUAAAAUUAUAUUUUUAUUAUACUUAGAUUAAAUUGAAAAGAUUCAAAUUUUAUAAAGACUAAUAAAAACAUAUUUAACCUUUUUAAAUAAAUUAUAAGUAGUAUUCCUUCCAUAAUGAAUUAUAAACAAAAAAACUCAAUAACAUCUAAAAAAUAUUAUUCAUCAUAUUUAAUCUAUACAAUUCCAAUAUAUAAAAUAAAAUCUAUUGCUUAAAUUGUGAUCAUUAACUAAUAAAGUUUUUUGUUUGUUUUUGUUGUAAAAUGGAUAUAUCAAAGCUAACCUCUAGCACAAGGUGUGCAACACACAUGCAUGAAUACAUGAUGAUCUUAUAACACCACACUACUGUAACCACUUCUACAAAGCUUUGAAACUUCCCCACAAGGAUCUACACACUUGAAGCAUUGUUCUCCAUUAUCAAUAAGUGAAAGCCCUUCAACAUUAAACGCACUUUGCAUGCCCAUCACAUCUUAUUGCAUCAGAAAAUCUUACAAACCACAACCUUUUAAUUGUUGGUAGUCUAUCCCAAUCACUUAUCCUCGAUAACUAAUAAAUUGAGUUAUUGAAUAUAUAAAAAUAUAUAUUAAAUGAGGGGUAGUUUAGAGAUAUUAUUAUUAAAUAAGAGAGACAUUAUUGAUUUUUACUUAUAUUUUAUUUUAAGAAAUAUAAUAUAAUUUUGUUUAUGCUUCAUUUUCAUAGAAGUAUGGGUAGAAAUUGCUAGUUGUAUGUAACGAUAAAAGAAAUUAAAAAGGAUGGAGAGAUUGAGGAUUCACCCUUAUUUGAUGAGACUUGGAAUAAAUUGGUACAUGUGAAGGUUUCGUCAUGAAAACUUUUAAAUAGUAGACUUUCAACUAAGGUCAAUUUGGUUCAAUGUAAAGUUCUUGAGUCAAAUGUUAAGUCGUGUGUAGGUGGUUGUGGGACAGUCCAAACUACACAACACAUAUUUUUUUCGAUUGUCCAAUAUAUAGACAUGUUUGAGUGGAUAUAUUGUGUUUGUUAGAUGUAGGUUGUCCUCUUGCAAAUAACUAUUCAACUAACGUCCUUCAAUUUGAUGGUUUGGUCCUUUGGGUAAACUUUUGAGAGAAAUACUUCAUUCCAUUUGGCUUGCACACUUUUGGUCUAUUUGAAAAUCAAAUAUUUUUCAAGAGAAAUAAAGUUAUCUUCGCUCACUCAAUUCUUGCAAUGGUGAAAUAUGUCUCAUAUUUAUGGAUCAAAUUCAAGGAGAUUAGUGUUUCUUAUGAUAUAGAUAUACAAGUGGGAUGUGUGUGAGUAAGAUACAAAAUGAGGAGAGAACAAAAUUACCAAACAAAUAAAAAUCUUAUAUCUUUUAUUUUUUAUUAUUAAUAUUUAAUAAAUAUUCAAUUUCUUCAAUCAAUUACCUCAAUUUUUUAGCGGUGUCAUCAAAUCUAUAUAAUUACAUUUUAAUAUCAUUCAUUUAUUUGAACAUGUAAUCCAUCUGUAAGUACAUAGCGAUUAAUCUCCAGUGAAAACUGAUUAUAACAAUAUAUAAGUAUGAAAUGAUGUCAUUGAAUAAAAAUAGAUAAUAAAGACAAACCACGUAUUGCAAUUUAUAUGCAGAUAGUUCCAAACUUGUGACCUUAUAAUAUAUUGUAUUCCCUCAAUUUGAGAGCAUAUUUCCUUCUACCAUAUGUUGACCUGUCAGCUUGUGCUAGCCUGAUCAUGACUAUAGACUUUCCCCCCAAUGGGCUUACCCACUCACUCACAUGGGCCUCCAAAAUAAACCUAUUAUUUUAAAUAUUAAAAUAUUAAUAAACUCAUCAAACCUUUCCUAUAAAAGCCCUUAAGCAUCAUCACUCAAACACACACCAAACCAAACCAAGAGUAUUAGCAUAGUCAAAAAGCCAUUAAUUAAUUAGCAUCUUAAUUAUUCCAAAUGGCUUCAAAAUUUGCUAUUAUUCUUCUUUCCCUCAACAUCCUAUUUUUCACUAUGGUUACCUCCAAUUAUGUUCCAUGUCCUCCACCACCCCCCAAGGGUCACAAACCCCACCACCCACCUUCCUCAAAAUCUCCAACUUGUCCUAGAGACACAAUUAAGUUUGGUGUGUGUGCUGAUUUAUUGGGUUUGAUUAAUGUUCAACUUGGUAAGCCACCAAAGACACCAUGUUGUUCACUCAUUGAUGGUCUUGCUAAUCUUGAAGCUGCUGUGUGCCUUUGCACUGCCCUUAAAGCUAAUGUGUUGGGAAUCAACCUUGAUCUUCCUAUUAACUUGAGCUUGAUACUUAACUAUUGUGGAAAGGGUGUUCCAAAGGGAUUCGUAUGCGGUUAUUGAUUAGAGACAUCACUUGAUA